GUGUGUACAAAGCAAAGAUGUGUCAUUAAAUUCCUCCAUGUGAAAAAAAAAUAGCACUCAGUGACAUUCAUCGACAUCUGCUGAACAUUUAAGGAGACCUAACAGUGGAUGUGAACACAGUGAGAGGUGACUGGUGUGUUUCAUCAGCGGUGACACUGACAGUGGGUCACUUCCACUGGUGCAAAUUUUUGUGAGUGCAGUCUGCAGGCUCUUGUUCAUUGCUGGUGAAAAAGCAUAGCUAAUCGUGGUGAGUGUUAAAAAACAGUUUUUUGUAGCUGAGAGUUUGCUCUAUCAAGGAGUGUUACUGUGUUCUUUUUAUCUGUUGUAGUUUCCAUGGAAAUAAAUUGGAGACAUUACCUUUGGAGCAACCUUCAUAUAAAGGCAUGCAGCCCUCAGCAGGCCUAGACUUCUAUGUCAAGAACUUCAAAACAUUCAAAAAUUUGAAUUGCUUUGUCCAAGCAUCCAUAACCUGAAGGAUGUGGUAGGUACAUUUGUGAAGAGUUGUCAAGAAUGAAGCACAAGAAGAGUAAAAUUUCAUCAAAAAUCUUUGACAAACACCUGGAGAUCUCACUAUAAUUGCAACCACUUCU
ensembl:lncRNA